rnacentral:rRNA from 1 species
AUUUAUUCCCGAUAAAUUUGGAUUAAUUUUAAAUUUUGAAUAUUGUUACACAAAUAUGUAAAAAUUUAAGAUGGGGGUUAGAGGCUAUUCGACAUUUUUUAUUUCUGGUUGUUUUAUAAUUAUAAUUUGAUUAUUUUUGUUAAAACUUUUAAUAUUUUCAAUAGGUAAGUUUUUGUUAAUUUUUAAUAUAGUUGUUUGUUAUUUAUGAGUUAUAUUUGUAGUAUAUUGCUUAUAAUUGUUUUAUAACUUUUUUGGUAAUAUUAUUUUUUAUUAUUUUUUUAUAAAAUUUUUUAAUUUAUUUUUUAUGAUAUAAAAAUUAGUAGUGUAGAAUUUUUUUGUGAAAUGUUAUUAUUUUAUUUAUUGUAUUUUUAUUAAAAUAUUAUAAUUCGGCUAUUAGAAAGUUGUUUGUUUAUCAAAAGCUUACCUUUUUGUUUAUUUAAAAGGUAAGCCCUGCCCUAUGAUUUAUUUAAUGGCCGCUUUUGUGCUAAGGUAGCGUAGUAAUUUGGCUAUUAAUUGUAGUCUUGUAUGAUUGGGUUGACGGUUUUUUUCUAUUAAUUUUUUAUAAGGUGAAUUUUUUUGUUAGUUGAAAAAAUCUAAAUUGUAAUGAGAGACGAGAAGACCCUAUGAAGUUUUAUUAUAAAAUAUGAAUAAUUUUUCAUUAAUUAUUUUUAUUUUAUAAUUUGGCUGGGGUAGCUAUUAUUAAGUAUUAUUUAUUUUAGUAGAUCCAAAUUUUUUUGAUAAUAAGAUUAAAUUACUCUAGGGAUAACAGGAUAAUUUAUAUCAGAGAUGUUAUUUGUUUAUAAGAUUAUUACCUCGAUGUUGAAUUAAAGUUAAUGAUAGAAGCAUAGAAGCAGCAGUUUAAUUAUUAGGUUUGUUCAACCUUUGAAAUUUUACUUGAUUUGAGUUCAGAUCGGUGUGAGCCAGAUCGGUUUCUAUCUUUUUUUUGUCUAAGAUAGUACGAAAGGACCCCUUAGACUUUUUUCAGAUUAGCAUAAGUUUAUUGUGA